UGGCCCCUUCGACCUGCGCUCCGCGCUCUGGCGCUACGGUCUGGCCGUCUGCUGCGGCGCCAUCGGGUAUGGCACAAUAAGAAACCGACAAAAACAGCAGCUGAUGACUCACUCCAACAACGCACAGCACCAGAAGGCAAGGAAAUCAAACCUCAGAGGCUAAAUGUUCCAUGACUUCUCCAAGAUCAUGAAGUAAGCACUGAGUAAGUAGGGAGGGGGAGCAGGGACUCAACCCCUUGCUCCUAAUCUUUACUCUAUACCGCAUUCAGGAGCCGCCAGCUGUAUGGGGAACAAGGCCUGGAUCCCACCCCAAAGACAUGGGUUGGAGACCCACCCCUCGGUGACCCUAGACCCGCCAACAGAUCGUUGUGAAGCUGCAGUUUCCCUAUCUGUAAAAUGGGAGCAUUUAGUCCACCAGCGCGGAAGGCACGGAGGGAGUUUCCCUAUUAUAUGACCGUACACGAAAUCUAGACUGUGACCAAAGUCGCCCGCUCCUCAGCCUCCUCUCCUCCGCAUCCUCAGCCACUAGUCACGCUGGAGAGGAGGCGUGGGAACUGAUCUCCGCGGGCCGGGCCUCGGCAACGCGCAUCCUCCCACCCGGCCUAGCCCAGCCCAGAUCGGGGAGGGGGUGCGCGGGGGG
rnacentral:sRNA from 1 species